rnacentral:rRNA from 1 species
AACGAACGCUGGCGGCAUGCCUAACACAUGCAAGUCGAACGAGACCUUCGGGUCUAGUGGCGCACGGGUGCGUAACGCGUGGGAACCUGUCCUUAGGUUCGGAAUAACUCCCCGAAAGGGGUGCUAAUACCGGAUAAUGUCUUCGGACCGAAGAUUUAUCGCCUUUGGAUGGGCCCGCGUUGGAUUAGCUAGUUGGUAGGGUAAAAGCCUACCAAGGCGACGAUCCAUAGCUGGUCUGAGAGGAUGAUCAGCCACACUGGGACUGAGACACGGCCCAGACUCCUACGGGAGGCAGCAGUGGGGAAUAUUGGACAAUGGGCGAAAGCCUGAUCCAGCAAUGCCGCGUGAGUGAUGAAGGCCUUAGGGUUGUAAAGCUCUUUUACCCGGGAUGAUAAUGACAGUACCGGGAGAAUAAGCUCCGGCUAACUCCGUG